CCUACGGGCGGCAGCAGUGAGGAAUAUUGGACAAUGGGCGAAAGCCUGAUCCAGCCAUGCCGCGUGUGUGAAGAAGGCCUUCGGGUUGUAAAGCACUUUCAGUGGGGAAGAAAGCCUUGGGGCUAAUACCCUCGAGGAAGGACAUCACCCACAGAAGAAGCACCGGCUAACUCCGUGCCAGCAGCCGCGGUAAUACGGAGGGUGCGAGCGUUAAUCGGAAUUACUGGGCGUAAAGCGCGCGUAGGCGGUCUGAUAAGCCGGUUGUGAAAGCCCCGGGCUCAACCUGGGAACGGCAUCCGGAACUGUCAGGCUAGAGUGCAGGAGAGGAAGGUAGAAUUCCCGGUGUAGCGGUGAAAUGCGUAGAGAUCGGGAGGAAUACCAGUGGCGAAGGCGGCCUUCUGGACUGACACUGACGCUGAGGUGCGAAAGCGUGGGUAGCAAACAGGAUUAGAUACCCUAGUAGUC
rnacentral:rRNA from 1 species